UUAAGCUACAAAGGGCGUAGGGUGAAUACCUUGGCAUCAAGAGCCGAUGAAGGACGUGAUAAGCUGCGAUAAGCUAUGGGUAGGAGCAAAUAUCCACUAAUCCAUAGAUCUCCGAAUGAGGAAACUCAACUAGUAACAAUAUACUAGUUAUCCAUACAUGAGUAAAGUAGUGUAUGAGAAGGGAACGUGGGGAACUGAAACAUCUUAGUACCCACAGGAAAAGAAAGAAAAUAUUCGAUUCCUAGAGUAGUGGCGAGCGAAAUAGGAAGAGCCCAAACUGUAAGUAGUAAUACAUACAGGGUUCGGACUGCAUAAUCGAUUUAAUGAGUUUAGUAGAAGUGUUUUGGAAAAGCACACCAUAGAUGGUGAAAGUCCAGUAUGCGAAAAGCGAGUUAACGAGGCAGUAUCCAGAGUAGCACGAGGCACGUGGAAUCUCGUGUGAAUGUGUGGGGACCAUCCCAUAAGGCUAAAUACUACUUGAUGACCGAUAGUGAACGAGUACCGUGAGGGAAAGGUGAAAAGAACCCCGGGAGGGGAGUGAAAUAGAAUUUGAAACCCUAUGUUUACAAGCAGACAAAGCACGUUAAGGUGCGAUGUCGUACUUUUUGUAGAACGGUCCAGCGAGUUAUUGUAUAUGGCAAGGUUAAAUACUAAGUAAGGUAUGGAGCCGAAGCGAAAGCGAGUGUUAAUAGCGCGUUUAAGUCAUAUGUAAUAGACCCGAAACCGAGUGACCUAUCCAUGGUCAGGAUGAAGCUAGAGUAAAAUCUAGUGGAGGUCCGAACUGAUUGUCGUUAAAAAGGCACCGGAUGAACUGUGGAUAGCGGAGAAAUUCCAAUCGAACUCGGAGAUAGCUGGUUCUCCUCGAAAUAGCUUUAGGGCUAGCCUUGAGGUAAAGACGUAUGGGGGUAGAGCACUGAAUGAGCUAGGGGCCUAACCAGGUUACUGAACUCUAUCAAACUACGAAUACCAUAUUGUUAUACUCAGGAGUCAGACUGCGGGAGCUAAGUUCCGUGGUCAAAAGGGAAAGAGCCCAGAUCGUCAAUUAAGGUCCCAAAGAUAUAGCUAAGUGGAAAACGAUGUGAUUUUGCGUAAACAACCAGGAUGUUGGCUCAGAAGCAGCCACUCAUUCAAAGAGUGCGUAACAGCUCACUGGUCGAGUGAAAUUGCGCGGAAAAUUACCGGGGCUAAGCUAUACACCGAAAUUGCGGAUUCAAGGAUUUAUCCUUGAGUGGUAGAGGAGCAUUCUGUUGUAGGUUGAAGUAUGACCGUAAGGACAUGUGGACGAAGCAGAAGAGAGAAUGCUGGAAUAAGUAGCGAGAGCAAGGUGAGAAUCCUUGCCGUCGAAAGUCUAAGGUUUCCUGGGGAAGGUUCGUCCGCCCAGGGUUAGCCGGGAGCUAAGGCGAGGCCGAGAGGCGUAUCUGAUGGACAGCAGGUUGAUAUUCCUGCACUAUAGAUAUACUUAAAAGAUGCAAGGGACGCAGAAGUGGAAGGAAUGCGAGGAAGAGGAAAAACUCGUAUCGAAAGAUAUAGUGAAAAUAAAGUAACGAAUUUCCAAGAAGCACGCUGACGAGAAAAGCUUGUAGAUAUUGUAUAUAAAUACCCGUACCGCAAACCGACACAGGUAGAUGAGGAGAGGAUCCUAAGACGAGCGGGAGAAGCAUUGUUAAGGAACUCGGCAAAUUGACCCCGUAACUUCGGAAUAAGGGGUGCCUAUGUAAAAGUAGGCCGCAGAGAAUAGGCCCAAGCAACUGUUUAACAAAAACACAGGUUUCUGCUAAAUCGAAAGAUGAAGUAUAGGAGCUGACGCCUGCCCAGUGCUGGAAGGUUAAGGGGAAGAGUUAAGACUUGAUCUGAAGCUUAGAACCAAAGCCCCAGUGAACGGCGGCCGUAACUAUAACGGUCCUAAGGUAGCGAAAUUCCUUGUCAGGUAAGUUCUGACCCGC
rnacentral:rRNA from 1 species